GAGCACCAGUUUAGUUCCUCCACCGAAUGUGUACCACAGUGAUACAAUCUAAUGAAACGGUCGUACAAAAACCUCUAUUCCACUCGAGUGAACACAAACUCCAGCAGAGAGAGAGAAACAACACUUCAACACACUGAUAUUAGAAGAAACUCAGAUCUUCUCAACACUCAAACAUUCAGUUUGGACAAAAUGCUUUCUGAUAUAACACUGUUUAUAGAAAUAUAUCUGAUGAUCUGUGACCUCUGAGGUGACCUUUGACCUCUUUUAUCAUGGAUGAUGUUGUGAGUUUCUCAUAAUGAUCUUCUGUUGUUCAUAUGAAGCUCAAUCAUCAUGUUUCACAGAAAAACCUGCAGCUUCAAAUAAAUUAAUCAAUAAUUCUGAACAUUUCAUAUGCACAUUGUUUAAUCUAGUGUCACAUGACCUGAUUAUGAGACCUGAUGAACAUGUCAACCUUCAUCAAAACACCAUUAUGUAUCUUUUUUGUUUGUUUGUUUACUCUAAAUACAGUAAAACUUUUUUCUCAUUGUUAACAUGUUUUUAACCCUCUAUGGUACGCAAUAUGAUAUCAAUCAGGAAAAAAAUACUUUAUUACUUUUCCUGCUUAAAAUUGGACACUUUAACAAAAUCAUUAAACAUUUUCAUAAAUUUUUAAUGUAUUUAUUUUUUAUAAGUUUGUUGCCUCGAGGCAACAUUGUAUACCAAUUUCAAAAAAUUUGGCAUUUUCAUGUAGAAAAAAGAAAUAUAUUUAUUGAAAACAUCAAUUUCUUUAACUAGACUCUUGAACAAACAAAUUUAUCCAGAUUUUAAUGUAUUAAAAGUAUCAUAUUUAAUAAAAAGUAACAUUUUAUAUCCAGCUGUUGCCCUCAGGCUACAUUGUACCAUAGUGGAACACAAGUAUUACCAAACCAUCAUAUUAUUAUGUUAUUAUAUCAAGUUAUCAUAUCAUCUUCAUCCUCAUCUCCAUCUUCUCUCUCACCCUCACUCUCUCCCUGACGGAUUGUCACUGUGAUUUCAUCUUCCUCAUCACAGCAUGACUCCUCAUCAUCACCCUCAUCAACUGCCAGUGCUACCUGUGUUUUAUAGCUUCUUGAAGUGAUAUAGAAAAUGUGCAGGUCAUAAUAUAUGCAGAUAUAGUAUGUGAAUUACUAUUCUUAUAAGUGCAUUACAAAAUCAUGUGAAAAUGCAAAUAUAUUUAGAUAAUUCUCACUCUUUUCCUUGCAAAUAUAAUACAGUUGUAUUCACACCUAUUAUGCCUGUAUGGCCUCAUGUGAUUCCAUUAUGGUACAACGUUGCCUUGAGGCAACACACAAUUUUUUGUUAUUUUCUCUAAAACAUUUGAUGAUAUAUAAUGUAAAGUUCUUGAAAAUACUUAUUUACUUGCCAGUGAAGGUGACUCGUAUUUUUUGUGGGUGAUUAAAUGGAUACAAACAAGUGAAAAAAGCUUUUUCAUUGGAGAAAAUAUGGAGCCAUGUGCACAUGUGCUGAAACAGGACACAAAAUGGACCCCUGUUGGUCAUGUUUUGGUCUUUUUUGCACUUUUAUUGAUUAGUAUUUGAGUUAUUCUGUCCUGAGAUACGUUUGAUCAAUCAAUUGGUGCCUUAUUUUAUUAAAAACAAACUAAAAUAGACCAUGUUGCCUGGAGGCAACACCGUACCAGAGAGGUUAAAGAUGUAGUACAUUACUGUACUCACAAAUAAAUAAUUACUGUGUUUGACAAAUGUGUUUAAAAAUAUCUACUUUCAUGAUACUAUAGUCAUUUUAGGGGCUUAAAAAAUCUUUUAUUUUUCUUCCUUGUGGUGGCCACCAUGUUGAGAUCACAUGACCAGCUGAAUGCUGCUCACUUUAUCUUGGUCACAUAUUAUCAGAAACAUUCACCUUAUAUAAAUGAAUCAUGAAUGAGAGUGAAUAGAUUAUUUCUACAGCGGCACUGAAAGCUGAAAAUGCUUCAUCCACACUGACAGAUGUUCAUAUAAAGUCAAAGACUAGUGUCUUAUCAGUCUGCAAAACAUAAAAAAAAAACAUUUUAUAAUUAAAAUUAAAAAUAUUUUACAAUAAUUAUUAUUUACAAUUAUUACAAACAACAUCAAUCUGUAAAAUCUUAGGUUGCACUUUAUUUCGAUGGUCCACUUUUGAUAUUCUACUAACUAUAAGUAACUUGUCAACUACAUGUCAACUAACUCUCAUUAGUGUAUUAGUAGACUGUAGUAGACUGUUAGGUUUGGGUUCAGUUAAGUAGAAUAAGUUGACAUGUAGUUGUAAAGUUACUUACAGUCAGUAGAAUGUCUAAAGUAGACCACUGAAAUACCAAAUCUUAUAUGUAGAGAGUUUAUUAGUUUGUUAGCAGCAUACACUGUUGUAAAUCCUGCCCACUUCUUUGCAUUGUCACACAUGCUUCAGUGCUCUGAGAGUGUUUAUAGUGCUGUGAGUUUAACACUUCAUGACUGAGAGCAGAACAGAACACAAUCUUCAUCAUCACACAAGACAAAAGAACAACAAUGAACAAAAUCACCUUCUUCAUCUGGACUCUCACACUGUUUAUUCAAGAAUCCAGAGGAGUGACUCUGACUCAACCUGAAGUUAAAACUGUCCAACAGGGUCAAACAGCUACAAUAGAGUGUCAUAUAGAUGUAGGAAUAUACGGCAGCUACUUAGCCUGGUAUCAGCAGAAACCUGAAGAAGCUCCUAAACUCCUGAUUUAUCAGAUCAACAGCCUCCAGUCAGGAACUCCAUCUAGAUUCAGUGGCAGUGGAUCUGGCAGUGAUUUCACUCUGACCAUCAGUGGAGUCCAGACUGAAGAUACAGGAGAUUAUUACUGUCAGAGUGCACACUAUAUCAACAGUCAAUAUGUGUUUACACAGUGAUAAAGAGUGGUACAAAAACCUCGGUCAGUCAGACGUCACAGUGAUGCACUGAUACAGCUGAGAGAUACUGCAGCUGCUCAUUCAACACAAUCACACACAACACUGAUCAGUGAUGGAAGGGGUUUAUCAUAAAAGACAACUACCUUAA